UCAACUCAGUGAUUGAUGCAAUUGGCCAUUUCAUUCAAGAGAGCAUCACCAGUGAUGUCCAGAGAGCUGGGAUGUUCUCUGUUCAGCUGGACACAACCCAAGACAUCACAGGUUAUGAUCAGUGUUCAGUAAUUAUCAGGUAUGUUACUGAGGCUGUGCAGGAGAGGCUUGUCUCCAUAGUGAGGUGCGAAGCAUCCACGGGGCAGUACUUUGUAAACUUGCUUUCUGGAGUUUUAGAGCAUCUGAAUCUGGACAAGGCCAUGUGCAUUGGGAAUGCCAUGGCCAUCAUAUGGUGACUGCCACAAGAUAGCCUCAAAAGUAUCGCCAGGGACUUCCCAACUGUGAAGGCAGCUGCAGACACAUUUGUGAAACAGACAAAUCAGAAACUCGAGGAGAGGGAGGACAACACAGACAUGGAAGUGGAGGCUGCACUACCUGUAAAGAGAGCCAAGAAGAGAAAACGCAUGGCCGGAGAGAUGACUGAAGAUGAGUUGCAAAUCAAUGCUGAGAAAACAACACCACCAUCCUGGACACAGUUAUUGAAGCAAUCCACAGACGAUUUGUCACAAAUGGCCCUCUUGUUGCGGAUUUGGCAUGGUUGGACCCCAGGAAGUUUAGCCAGGUCAGAACAGUUUCUCUUCCUAGUAAUGCACUUCAAAACCUCAGCACAUGUCUCCUCAAAUUUGACAGCAGGGCUACAGUAAAUAACCUUCAGUCAGAACUGAAAAGUUUUGCAGGACAGUGGGAAAGGCUUAAGACAUCACAUGUAGAUGACUACAGGACCAGAACAGCAAAGGACAGAUCUGAAGAAUGGGACGAAGAAAGUGAAAUUGUGACCAAAAGCUGUGAUUCUUGCAAAAAUUGCCCACUGUGCUGCUAUCAAAUUCUCAGGCGGUUCAACAUGCUGUCUGAUGCCUACUGUCUCCUUGGGCUGGCAUACAAGUACCUGCUGACCCUCUCUCUCACUCAGGUUGCCUGUGAAAGAACAUUCUCUACACUCAAGUUCAUUAAAAGCAGACUCCGAAGCAGCCUGUCUGGAAACAGGCUUGAGAUGUUUAUGCUGAUGGCCACUGAAAAGGACAUUCUCAUGUCAUUGGACUCCGACAUGGUCAUUGACAGGGUAGCUGAGAAGAGUGACCUGCUGAGAAAGCUGCUGUUGUAACCUGGUGGGGUGAAAUAAAAUUAUCAAAACAUUCCUAAUUAUGUUUCAGUUAAGAUUAAAUUCAACUUUAUUGUUAUUGCCUAAAAGUACAGUCAAAUGAAUAGGUUUUGUGUCUAUCUUCACUUCAAACAAGUCACGUGCUCAGAAAAUGCUUAGAAUGUGUCCAUCUUAAUAGGUUUUAAUGCAUAAGACAGUAGAUAGAAUAAAUAUUAGAUAAUAUAAAUAUGAGAGUUUUCUUACAGCCUUAAUCUGUCAUUGUUUCGUUUCAGACUCAGUCAGUCAAUUUUGGAAGCCUGAAGUGGGUUCAUUUUAAGUUUCCAUAUGUUAAGAUAUGUUCAGUGUUGCUGCUGUGGAAGUGUUGUGGUUGACUUUUUAGUGAUGCAGGUCUAAUCAUUCUUUAAGAGGUUCUCUAGACCAUGCAACUUUUUAAGUUCCUACCAUCUUUGAUGGGCUUGUAAGUUAGCAAAUGGGUGGACGUUAUGAUGCAGUGAGCUGACCAAUCAGCUGCCAGCUAUGUUCCGUUACAAUUACGCCUCUCGGUCUCUGCACCUUCUUUUGGCGCCUGUACCUGAGCGUAGGAGGCUGCGUUAUCCCCUCGAGAGUAAAUGAGAGCUGUGCCUGAAUCCACUGUUGUCACGGAGCUAAAGGCGGUGAAUUCCGCUAAAACGGUGAGUUGUUUACCUUGCGCUAGGCCUUUGAGUUCGCUAGCGUCCAUGUUAACAGGACAGGCUUUUGAGGCCCAUUUGUAUUUAAUCUAGCCUGCUGAGUUUACUGGGAGUUCGCUAGCAUUUAUGCUAAUCGGUGAAGCUAUGCAAAGGUGCUAAUUGUGUAAAGCUAAUGUGAGACUGCUGUAUUCGUAUGCUAAUAGGGUAAUUAACCACAAUAAGCUAGCGGAAUACUCUUUAAUGCCUGUGAAAAUUACAGAUUAUUUUGUUUGUGGGUUAUAAAAGGAAUUGUUACCUUUCCAUGUUGUUGCUAAAUGGUUACUUUGAAAAAAUAAUGAUGUUAAAAACUGUUGUUACUGGAAGUUAAAGAGGUAAAUUUUUAGUGCAUUCUUUCCACUGUUACCGGCGCAGAGGGGGAUAAAUGAGCACGCUAACACCUUAAUGCCUCUAAUUUGAAGUAAUACGAUUUGAUCAAUGUUUACAUGCAAUG